rnacentral:lncRNA from 1 species
CUCACCACCGCGCUGGAUUCAGGAAGCCGCAGAGCUCCGUAGCAUUGACGGAUACCACAGCCAAGCAGGAUCAAGAGAAGCUACGCGACAUUAGUUGUUGGAGCCGACGGACAUCCCACGUCAGCAUGUGCGGGUAAUCCAACGAGGUGAGUUCCUCUACCACCAAAUCUGGUGUAUGGCCCCGAUUCAUCUCCGAUCUAUGAAGGGAGGAGUGUGGUGUGGUGGAUCCGAGCUCUUGACGGCUCCAUCUCGCCCCAUGGGCUAGAAGAGUCCAAGCACAUGAAGACCAACAGCUUCGUUGUUUCCACAAGAUCUACUAGCUCCACGGUCAUCAUGUUGGAGCGUUCCUGCUUCCACCAAAUCUGUGAGUUCUCCAUCAUGUGGAAGUAGAGAUCGGAGUGGAGACAGCGACCAGCUAGGAUGGCUCGCGGAUCUCUGCCAUCUAGCAGCAGCCGUGAGCGCUCCGACGCACGCUGGAGUGGCACACUCUGUAGGCAACAGCAUGCUGCAACGGGUUCAUCCCACUCAUCAGGUACUAUGAAUGAGUUUGGUUUGGGGAUUUGUCUAUCUGCAAACAGACUCUCUAAUUUUUUUAUCUGUUUCUUAGUUGAUUUAGGUAACAGUGGGAGCAAGUGAAUGCGGUGGGGAAAGGGGAAGGUUAGAGAAGUGGGAAAUUUCAUGAUAAUUUCUAAAUUAAAAUUAGUAGAUGACGAGUGGUACAAUAUAAUGUUGAAAUGUUACUCCUUGAGAUACAGAUAGUCAUUACUCUCGUAUUUGUAUUACUAACAUCUUUGCCCAUGUUUAGUUAUGACUUAGUGAUGCAGUUAUGCAAUUCUGCAAUCAGUUUGCAAUUCCACAAUCAGUUAUAUAUAAUGUAUCCUAUACCCAUUGUUCUGUUAGGCUCUGUUUUGACACUGACGAUACACUUGAUCCUGGAGGAUUUGUAUUCUGAUCUGAUUUACUUGCAAACAAGUGUAUGCAACCAACUUUGAUUUUUGAUUUAUCAAGUCCUUCGCCGGUUCUGCCGAUGUCAUGUAACUUGUGAAAUGAUUGUUUUUGCAUUGCAGUGCAUUAUGCUUCUGUGGCACUCCAGGAAGGGAUGUUUCUUUCAAGAUAUACUUCAUUAUCUUAAAGAAUGUAAUGAUCGAUAUAUUCCAGGAGUGUUGACACCAGUUUAAGUAUGUCACUUGAUGUGUGAACUUCCAUCAAAUUCAGGUAAUAAAGUACAUCUAAGUUAUGCGGACAUAUUUUUUUCUGACAUAUUUGCUUUCUGGCAUUCACAGUUUUUAUCUGCUUGCAAUGCUACUGCAAAAGUUGUCAAGAUUUCAUAGCUACACAACUUCUCAUAUGCACAUGUUUCAUAGGUACACAGAUACUUCUCUUGGCAUGUUUACUUCAACAAUAAGUUAACAUAACACCUCUAUAGAUAUUCUUUUGUUCGCAUUAUGUUGAAAAAACAAUUUUAUCUGUAGUUUUGAUCCCCCUAAUAAGUAGGUUGAUCUAGUUUGUGUUUGUACUUUGUAGCGCACCUAUAGCGCUAUAUCUGCAGAUUUGAAAGCCCUAGUUUGGUUUUGGAUAAUUGAUGAAACCUAUGUGUACUAACCUUUGUCAUGAGUGAAAUACAAAGAUAGGUUGGUACACACCAAGUGAUGGAGCUAGAUGAUGGUCAUGGUGAUGGAGAUGACCAAAUUAUGAUAUUCAAGUGCUCCAACUUUGAAAAGAAGAAAGAGAAAACAAAAUGGGCUCAAGGCAAAGGUAUUUUUAAUAGGGCCAUUUUGUUUUGCCACUCAAGACACCUAGAGGGUGUGAGUGGAUUUAGGAUAGAUAACCAUACUAUAAAGAGGGGAAAUCUUUAAUUGCAAUGGUUAUCUAGUGCCACUAAGUGUGAGUCUCUUUUGCAUAUGCAUUGCGCUUAGUGACGUGGUGAGAAUACUUGAGAAAGCCCUAAAAAUCAUUUGUGAAAAUGCUAACUUAAGUGCUCAAUUGUUUUUGGUACUUGGUGGGAAAGUUAGCACUUUAAAAAGGGGUUUUGAGUUGAAAAACCGAGCUAGUAGUCAUGCCCAAACAGCAAGGGGUCGAUCGGAGUUAUUCUCUACCCUACCUGGAUAUUCUGGUAUUUGUGCUUGCAACAGAGAGGGGUCGGUUGGAAUUUUAGCUGCCCCGCACUGGAAAUUUUUCAAAACUGGAGUUCACCCACGCCAACGGUCAAAAGCGUGUGCGUCUGGAAUUAUUUCCUACCCGCACUGGAAUUUCUCGCGAGAUUGGGCUGCUGCAACGGUCGGAUGAGUGGCUGGCAGAGGAUAAGGUCGGGUUUCACCCCUUCCUUUCUUCCUCCUCAAUCCAUUCCCCAUUCUUGCUCUCUUGAAGAACUCCAAGAAAAGAAAAGCUCUCCUCUUCUCCUCUCUCACUCCCAAGGAUUUGUGCUCCAUUCAAGUGAGAGAGAAAGCUCUAGAGAUCGAUUUGAGAGCUCCAAGAGGAUCUCCUCCCUUCCUCUCCAUUCCCAUGGUUGGUACUCUUUGGUGAGAGGAGUUGGGAAACCCUAGUGUUUAUGCAUUUGUGAUUCAUAUUUGUGGCACUAGUUGAUUGUUGGGAUUGUGGAUUUCUUGUUACUCUUGGUGAUUGCCGUCACCUAGACGGUUGGUGUUGGAUUGAUUGGUGAGGGGAUUUGGUGAUUGUGUCCGCCCCCAAUCAAGGUGAUAUUUGUGAGGGGUUGUUGUGGUUCCCCAUCGGAGUGCUAAAUUCCAACUCUAGUGGAUUGCUCGUGUCAUUGAGUUACCGCACUUGAGAGUGGGGUCUUGCGGUUUCCUUGCGAGGGUGGCUUGCAAGUCACACCGAAGAACCAUCUAGGUGUUGGUCGACACAACGGGGACUAGCUUACCGGCAAGUAAGUGAACCUCGGGAGAAAAAUAUUUGUGUCAUCUCUUGUUUCCCGGUGAAUUGGAUUGUUUGAUACAUAUAUUGUUGGAAUUAAUUAUUUGGUGAUUGGCAACAUCCUCUACUCUUCACCGUCGGUAUAAAAGUCAAAUUCCCUUCUCUUUCAUACUUGCAAUUUAUCUUGUUAGCUCUCUAAUUAGUUAGAGUAGAGACCUAGCCGUUUGAGUGCAUAGAGAUUAUAAUUACUAGAAUUGCAAUAGGUGGCUUGCCUAACAAUUAGAGCUAAAGCAAACCGCUUUUAUAGCCAUUUGUGUUACUAACAAUUUGCUCUAGUGUUUUAUAGAUUUUUUAAUAGGCUAUUCAACCCCCCUCUAGCCAUCUAGGACCUUACAAGAUUGCAAUAUGACUAUUUACUGCUAAUGUUAAGAUGUAAUCAAAUUUGCAAGGCAAAGCUUAAUAUAUUAAUCAUUGCCUGAUUUUAAUUUUUUUUUCUUCUUUAGUUGUGUUGUUCACUGCACAUUGAAAUAUUUACUUAUUUUCCUUUGCUACCAAAGACGCGUAAGCAGAUCAUGUAGGUAUAGGAUCAUGAAAUAUUUAUUUACUUGGUAAGUGAUGCUUUUGAGAAAAUACUUAAUCACCAAAAGAGACAAGAGCAACCAAAUGACAUAUUAACUAUUUAGAGUUAGGAUCCAGAUGUGUCGAUAGUCCAUAACUUUAUUGCCUUAUCAUAAUCUAUGCACAUCAUACCUUGUGCCGUUUUUCCAUUUACCGACAUGUUCAUCAUACCUAUAAUCACCUAAAGAGGAAGGCUACAUCCUUUUGCCUCUAUUGGUUGCCCCUAGCUGUUUAUGUGUGUUUGCUCACCUGCUGAUCUACGUCUGAUGUUCAGCACCAAAGGAACUUAGCACUAUGAUGAUCGACUCUCUGUCUUUUGCAAACCUCAUGGCGACAAACUGUGUAGUUCUCCGUUCUAAGUUACCAGCUGAAGUGUUCGGUUCUUAUGAAUUCCCGGUCAUAUAUUGUAAUCACUACCGGAUAGCAGGGGUUUGCCAUGUGCCUGGCGCACACGGCAAAGUCCAAAUUACACACGGCAAAGGCUUUGCCGUGUGUUGCUCACGGCAAAGAACACACGACAAACUCUUUCACGGUGAACCUUAUUUUUACCCACGGCCAAAUUUUGGGCACACGGUGAAACUUUGCCGGCGGGAGACGGCCUAACGGCAGGGUCACACGGCAAAGUCUCAAUGUUUGUCGUGUGCUAGGGUUGGGCACAACGGCAAACCCCAACGAAAAAAAUCCAAAGUCCUAAAUUUUUUUGUGGCCCAUGGGAUUUGAACCCAUGACCUCCCUCUCGCGCUUCUUCGCUCUUAGCCACUACACCACGCACCACACUAUGUCUUGUGUUUAUAUUACAUUUCGGUUACUCAAAUAUUAUAUCAAAUUAUGUGUAAAUUGAUAAUUUGAGAUCUUAAAUGAUUUCAAAUCAAAAAGUUGUCAACUACAAAGUUUCAUAACUUUUUGGGAUCUACAAUUUUCAUUUAGGGAGUUUCUCCAUCCGAGGUCGUUUACAAAAUUUGAAUUUUAAAUUUAAGAAAUCCAAACGUUUUUGCAUGACAAGAUGAUUCCAAAAUAAAAAGUUGUCAACUACAAAGUUUCAUAACUUUUUGAGAUCUACAAAGUUUAUUUAGAGAGUUUUUCCAUCCGAGGUUAUUUAAAAAAUUGAAAUUUUAAAAUUUUCAAUUAAAAUGCUGAAAAUAAUUAAGAAAUAGUAAACAAUUCCGAAAAUUUUCUAAACUUGGACACGACACAACCUAUAUGGUGUAGUGCCUAUAGAAACAGUUUUAAAAUCAAACUCAAAUAUAAAAGUCAAAUCUACUCCAACUCAGGCUUCUUCACUCAUAUCUGUGUGAAACUUCUUCGAAGGUUGUCUGGUUUCUAUACAUCAUACAUGACAACUUGUUCGAAAUCUUUCUAAACUUUUUUUAUGGCCUCUAUGUAUGAUAACAUGACAUAUGUAUAAGUUUUAGGAUUUACGGAAUAAAAUAGCAUUUAUUAGAAUUUUCGAAAUGUACCGACGCACAUUCUGCGUCGUGUCUCCUAAGCACGGCAUUCAAAAGUCAUUUCCGUUUCGAAUGUGUGUUAUCAGACAGGGUUGGGUAACAUGAAUAUCAUUUUUUCGAUAUUUUUUUCAACUAUUUCACUGACUCGUAGUUCAAAUUUGAACGUAACUGGAAAAAUGAAAAUAAAUAAUGUUAAUUGCAAAAAUAUAGCAAACAUGUUUCAAAUUUUAUGAAAUUUGAGUAUGGAGUUACAAAUGGUGAAUGUGUAGAGAAGAAAAAAUUUGGAGGACAAAAACUAAAAAAAGAUAAAUUGUUUGUCAUGUGUCGCACCCCUGACACGACAAAGUUUGUGUUUGCCGUGUGCCAGCCUCAAACACACGGCAAACCCAGGUUUUGCCGUGUGCCUAACGGCCACACACGGCAAAUGUUGACGUCUGGAGGUGGGCGUUAGCGUGGGUUAGUUUUUGCCGUGUGCUCUGUUUUUCCCGUGUGUUGCUCACGGCAAAAGUUUGAGUUCGCCGUGUGCCUGGUGUUUGCCGUGUGCAACACACGGCAAAGGACAGAUAUACCGUGUGUCUGGCGUUUGCCGUGUGCGUGGAUUAGACACACGGCAAACUCGACCUUUGCCGUGUGUUGCUCACGGCAAACGGGCUGACACACUACAAAGGCCGGCUCUCCGGUAGUGAAUGAACAGUUAUGUAAUAUAUAGUUCAAUAGAAUCAUUAAUGUAAUGAAGGGUGUGUAACAUAUAGCUGAACAGAACUAUGAGAGCUACAAUGGACAUAAAAACCAUAUCGUUGCUUCAUUGGUCUUAGGUACUGACUAUUGUGAUGAUGGCAAUUACUAUUUAUUAAUGUAUGUGACUGACAUCUUUUCUUUACCAUAUCUAAUUAUGGAGACAUGUCUAUGGAGCAUAGACUAGCUUUUGUUCUUCAAAUCGUGGUAGGGCGCCUGAUGUUCUAGUUACUAUGAAGCUUUCAGGCCUAAGUGUAGCAGUCAAGGCAGAUGCUUUUCACAUGCUGUCAGGGGUGUGGAAGACCCCUAUCGAGAGGUGUUUUAUGUGGUUAGGUGGAUUUUGACCGUCACAAGGUUUAUGGUCUCUCCUCACUUGUUCUUAUUGCGUCGUUGUGCUUCUGUCAAAGCUGAUUUCCUUGUUCAUCAUAGCAUAAAUCUCAUGCAUAUAAAUAUUAGACAGGUGAAUAAUAUUUUCGAAGGGCUUCCAAUUUAAGCUUGAAGUCCACCUGAACCACCUCAUGCAUAUCAAUUAAGCAUAUUUUUGCUGGAUUUGGCUCCUGUUGGUAGAUUGAUUUUUUAUGAUAUAUAUCAAUCAAUUUUCUCUAAUAAUGACAUCAAUUAAAUUAUUGGAUUACCCGAGUGUGUGAUUGGAUAACUCGAGUGUUUUAAGGCCUUGUUCAGUUGGCAAAAUUUUUAGAUUUUGGGUACUAUAGCAAUUUCGUUUUUAUUUGACAAAUAUUGUCCAAUCAUGGACUAAAUAGAUUUAAAGGAUUCGUCUCUCAAAUUAAAGGUAAAGUGUGUAAUUAGUUUUUGUUUUCGUCUAAAUUUAAUACCCAAUGCAUGUGCCGCAAGAUUCGAUGGACUAAAUAGACUUAAAGGAUUCGUCUCUCAAAUAGCAUCUUGGAAUUUUCUUUUCUACAAUUAUUAAACAAAUUCUAGCAUACGCUAGACAUAUUUGACCUUUUAUCUGGUUAAUUUUGGGUGUUGUUGGCAGUUUCGUAUGUACAUGCCUGUAUAUGUAAUUGAAUAAUAUUAUAACAUUGCAGGGAUGUUGAGGAAGCUAUAGCAUGCUCGAGUCUGACAGCUCGUGAGUUUUCUUUCUUUCUUUUUUUUUGUUGUGUGAUUUGUAUUAUCAAAUAUUACUGUAGUUACCACAGGCAUUGGGUAAAUCAUUUUUUGGUUGUAUGAUUUGCAUUACCAAAUGUCAUUAUAGCGCUAGCACGGACAUUAUACUAGUCAACCUAAGGUGAAACAACAAUCAGACCCAUAAAACAAAAGCAUUCAACCUAAACACAAAUUUGCCUAAGGCACAUCACAGAUUGGACGAGGCAAAUUCGAGAGAAAACACAAACUAAAAUAGCCAAGUGAUGCAAAGAAGCUCAGAACUCGUUGAGAAAUGAAAAUAAAUAGCGUGGAAGAAGGAGUUCUGCUCGUAUUUUUAGUUCCGUGUGUAAUACACGACUAUCUACUUGGGCUAAUUUCAUUGUUGCCCUGGCCCAUCUGAGCAGAUGCAUUCUCUCCUUUUCUUUUCUAUAGUGGAACUGAAAGCUCUACUACUCAUCGUCUCAUGGCCUCAUUGGGCUGAAGCUGCAUCCCUAGCCUUUCGAUACUCAUGGGCUGAAGCUACACCGAGGUUUUGACACAUCGGAACAGCCUUAUUCGUGAUGCAAGGAGACGUGCUAAGGUAAAGUUAAAUUGUUUUUGAGGACACGUGCUCCCACUUAUUUCAUGUUAGAUUCGUAUUGAGAAAUAUAUAUAUGAAUCGAGGUGUGUUUCUCAAUGCGAAUUUAAUGGUAGAGGCAACGAGAACUCUUAAUAGAAAAAAAAUUGCCUAUGAUAACUCUGUUACAAUGUUAACGGCAGUAUUUUGACAUCGUUAAAAAUUUCCAAUAAACACCAGCAUAGAAAAUCAUUUUUCGAGGAGCCUCAUUUUUAAAAGUAGAGGUAGCUCUACUAAAAUUCGUCUCUAAGAGUAGUUUACGCAGGUUCACUUCUAGAAAUCACUAAAACAUAUAUAAGUAAUCCGCCUACGUGAUAAGUUAUUUGCACGAUGACAAGCCAAAAUGUUGGGCCCAUAUGCCGAUCUUAUACCCCCUUAUCACCACAUGGGCCUAAAAUAUCGGUGCCAUCAUCAUGCAAACAGCAUGCUAUGUAAGUAGAUUAACUAAGUUAGGACAGUUUCGAUGGUCAAAAUUAUGCAUGAUUUUCAUAAAGCCACGUCAACAUUGAUACUGCCAUUAUGGUGCUUUAGGCCUUGUUUAGUUCACCGCAAAAACCAAAAACUUUUCAAGAUUCCCCGUCACAUCGAAUCUUGCGGCACAUGCAUGAAGCACUAAAUAUAGACGAAAAUAAAAACUAAUUGUACAGUUUACCUGUAAAUCGCGAGAUGAAUCUUUUAAGCCUAGUUACUCCAUGAUUGGACAAUGUUUGGCAAAUAAAAAUGAAAGUGCUACAGUCCCGAAAACCAAAAAGUUUUCAGAACUAAACAAGGCCUUAGACCUAAUGUGAUACUUUGAUCACUCAUCUUAUUCAAAAAAAAUUAUACAAAUAUAGCCAAAUUUAAAGUUAUUCUUGCAGAGGUUUUAUUAAUAAACCAAGCCACGAUAAAAUAAGCGGUAUUUAUAAGACCAGUCGUCAAAUUUGGUGUUAAAAAGGUUAAAUAUCUUAUAAUUUAGGAUAGAUUGAGGUGUUUUUUAAAAACACCUUUGCAGUGUGUAUGUAGAAAACAUCAAAAUGAAGAUACUGAUGUCCAUUACUUUUAUCACACCUCUUGAGAUAUUGGGAACUGGUUCAUGCGAUGCUUCCUCUCUAUCUCUCUCUCUCCCUCCCCGAUGCCCGACGUCAUCCUCUGUCUCUCUCCCUCCCUGAUGCCUGACGUCCUCCCGACGAUGAUGUAGGCCCUCCUAAAAUCAUGCGCAGAUGCGUCGAAAACACCACUCUCUUGCUCUCGCCAUCGCCACUUAGAUAAAGGUGACUUUUUUAAAUAUAUUUCGGUGCAGAAGGCAAAACACACACCACGGAGGCUAUGAACUUUGCUUCUGCUCGAUUGCACGGUUUGACGCACACUAAAGGUGCUUGAAUAAUAGGGUUCUGUCCUUUCUCCUUUUUAAAACAAGAAAUGCUAAACAACACCCAUGUGUUUUUUAUACAUUCCAACACAUGAAUUUUUCCGUGUCUAUGAUUUUAGGGCCCACACCUAAUUCCUCCCUCACCCUCUUACUCUUCCUCCCCUCCCUUUCUCUCAAUGCCCACCACCGCCACACCUGAGUGCCAUCGCGCUUGCAUGCCGGCGUGCCUGCGCCUCCCUUAGCGCAGUCCCUGACGGCGUCCAACAACAGUGCCUUCGUGCCUGCGCCGGCGCCGGCCACGGCGGCUGUGCCGCUAAUCUCCUCCUUCUUAUCUAUGAUAUGUGAUUGUGCUUGCAUAGAAAACUUUUGUAAUUUGUCCUUUCAUAGACAAAAUUAUUUCUUGUGAUAUGUGGUUGUGCUUCCACAAAAAAAUUAUGAUAUAUUUUUCCAUAGAAAAAAUUGUUUCUUGUGAUAUGUAAUAUGUGAUCCGUGGCUGAAGGAAGAAGAAGGCUUGAGGCUGUUGGAUCUUCAUCUUAUGGCUAACAAAAUUUUGUGUAUUGGAAUGCUAAAAAAACGCAUGGUUGUUAGGUAGACACUUUUAAAACACUCCUGCCUAAUGCUUAGUCCAUCUCUCAGUUAAAUAACUUUAAGACAAAUAAUGGGGGCCAUAGACAAUGGACUUUGCACCAGCCAUAUACGAGAGUAGUAAAACAGGGACGCCGGCCACCAAACCAUGUCGCGCGGUGGAUGAUGGAGACUGGCCAGGACAAAAUAAAAUGGCCACCGCCUGCCGCCUGCCGGCCGUUCGCAACCGCCGACGCCGCCGCCGUUGCUAUAUCCGUCACUAGCCAGUUAGCCACCAACUCGACUGGUCGUCGGUGCAAGUCCAGGCAUCCACCACCAACCUACCAUGGACGCCAAGCCGCAGAACCUGGGCGGCUCGCUGCCGGUGCCCAACGUGCAAGACCUGGCCGCGCGCCCCGCCGACGAGCUCACGCCGCCCGUGCUGCACCGCUACAUCCGCGACGACGCCGACGUCGACGCCGACGCCAACGGCGACGCGGCCGCCUCGGUGCCCGUGGUGGACCUCGCGAGGCUCCUGGACCCGUCGCACGGGGAGCAGGAGGCCGCCAAGCUGAAGGCCGCCUGCGAGGACUGGGGCUUCUUCCAGGUGGUCAACCACGGGGUCCCCGACGCGGUGAUCGCCGACGUCAAGGCGGACCUGCAGGGCUUCUUCGGCCUCCCGCUACCCGAGAAGAACGCGGUGGCGCAGGAGCCCGGCGGGAUCGAGGGGUACGGGCAGGCCUUCGUCGUCGCCGCCGACCAGAAGCUGGACUGGGCCGACAUGCUCUUCCUCUUCACGCAGCCGCCCGAGUACCGGGCCUCGCGCUUCUGGCCGGCGCGCCCCGCCACGUUCGGGGACUCGCUGGACCGCUACUCCGUCGAGGUGCAGCGCGUCGCCGCCGGCCUGCUGGCGGCCAUGGCCGCCAACCUGGGCGUGGCGGAGGCGGACGCCCGGAAGCUGACGAGGCUCGCCGGCGCACAGUCCGUGCGGAUCAACUACUACCCGCCGUGCCCGGACGGCAGGGUGCUCGGCCUGUCGCCGCACUCCGACGCCGUCGGUCUCACGCUCCUGCUCCAGGUCAGCGCCGCCGUCCCGGGGCUGCAGAUCAGGCGGCGCGGCGCGUGGGUCAGCGUGGACCCCGUCCCGGGGGCGCUGGUGGCCAACGUCGGCGACGUCGUCGAGGUGCUCACCAACGGGAGGUACAAGAGCAUCGAGCACCGGGCGGUGGUCAGCGCCACCCAUCACCGGGUGUCCAUCGCCGCCUUCCACUCCGCCAAGUUCGGCGGCACGUACGCGCCGCUGGAGGAGACGACGAUGGUACACGGCGAGCCGGCGAGGUACAAAACCAUAAGCGUCGAGGACUACGUCCGGCUGCUGCUGUCUUGUAAGCUUGAGGGAAAGAACAUCAUGGACGCCAUGAAGAUCAAUCCCCCUGAACUGCAGUGACAACAUGAAUUUCUCAAAUUUCAAACAAUGGAGCCUGCUGCAAUAUAUAUACAUGCAGAUUUGUGUUCUUGUCGUCGUCUCUGCUUGUUGUUUCGUAUCAUCUAGAUCUGUGCAAGACAGGAUUGCUCUAAGCAUCUUGGUCAAGUAAACCAUGAAUGUACAUGUUCCGAUUUGAAGGGACUCGUUCUUUCAGUUUAUUCAUAAUAUGCAAAUCCUAGUCCUUGGGCCUGAAGCAAGUAUGGGCCGAAUAGCAGGCCCAUCAGGCAGUUAUUACAAGAUAUUUGUGUCCGAUAUAUUUUAUUUGUGCUGUUCCGUUCUCCUCCGGGCCUGUAUAGUUCCAAAAAUUUUACAAAGUUUUUAAAACUUUUCAUUACAUCAAAACUUGUAGUACAUGCAUGGAGAAUUAAAUAUAGAUAAAAAGAUAACUAAUUGCAUAUUUUAGCUCUAAUUUGUGAGACGAAUCUUUGGAGUCUAUUUAGUCUAUAAAUUAUUACUAGCAAAUAUGCCCGUGCGUUGCAACGGGAGAAAAACAUCAAAUGGUCAUAAAAAGUGACAUAUCUAUUUAUAUUUAUAAUUUUUAUAAAAUUUAAAGUCCAUAAUUUAUUUUAUUGAUAACCAUGACAUCUAUGGUAUGAGAUAGUUAAUAUUUACAAUAUUAUGUAGCUUGGAGACAUAUUUAUUUAAUAAUAAAAAUAGAUUAUAUUAAAACAUGAGAAGUUUGUUGCUAGCUUUAUUUUUUUAUUUAGAUUAGGAUUCCUAUAAAAUAUGAUAUAUCAGCUAAAUAUAUGUAGAUUAUAAACAUAUAGGCUUAUGAAGUGUUCAUAUGAUAUAACAACACAUCGUGCAAAGGUAGUGGAAGCAUCUUUUUUAUAUUUUUUACACACUUAAAUUGAUGCUAAACUAUUUAGCUAGCAUAAAUUUGGGUAAAUUAGUAAAUCAGUAAGAUAUGCAGGAAUAGUGCUAAAACUUUUACCACAAAUCAAGCAUCACAUUAAAUAGGCUUCCAUAAAAUUUUUAUAAUAAUUAGAGCAAAAUAACUAUAAUUUCAAUUUUACCCUAAAAAGCAUAGGCAAGCAUCUCCAGCAAAAAAAUAUACUAAAAUUUAUGAUAUUUUUUGUUUACUACAUGGAUCUACAUAUGUGGAGCUGAACACAUUUUGUUUUGUAAUUUUUAGAUUUUUCUAUAAAUUUCUACGCAUUUAUUAAUUUUCAGCCGAUAUAAAGAAUAAAAGAAAAGUAAAUUAAUAGGACAAACACUUUGCACCUAUUUUUUAUUUACUGUAUGGAUCUACAUAUGUGGAGCUGAACAAAAUUUGUUUUGUAAUUUUUAGAUUUUCUAUGAAUUACUACGCAUUUAUUAAUUUUUAGCUAAACUAAAGAAUAAAAGAAAAUAAAAUUAAUAGGAUAUAGGAGAUUUUGCAUUGGGAACCCUGAAAAAAAUUUAUUUUCUUUUCGCUCUUCUAGCUAGCAACUCUAAGAGCGAUAGAAAAUGUAAAAGGAGAUUUUGCAUUGGGAACCCUAGAAAAUAUUCUAUUUUCUUUUUCUCUCUUACAAGUGUUAAAGGAACGGAGAGACCGAUUCCGGACGAGACGGGGCAGAAGAAAUUUUUGAGGGACUGAAUUUUUCAUAAUUUAUUAGUAGAUAUAUAUAGGUAUAAAUAUAGAUGUAUAGAUAUAGAUAAUUUUUUUUUCUUUUGCAAUGACAUGCUCCAAAUGUGGACUAAUAAUGGGCCUCUAGCACUCAGCUCAUCUGGGCACUCAAAUGUUGGCCCAAAUACAGGCCCAUGCAAUACAUUCACACGCGCCAGCCCAUCUGCAUCGGCUCUGCCUUUUCUUUCUUGCGGACCAAUACGAGACACGGAGGCGAAGGGUGGUCGGAGUCGGGAAGGCGUCGGCGGCAGCUCUGCUCGGUCGCGGCGCUUGUGGGAGCAGAGAAGAGGCUAGGACUCCGAAGGCAGAAGAAUAUUUUGGUAGACAAAAUUUUUCACAAUUUAGUACUAGGUAUAGAUAUAGAUAUACACAUGCAAACAAAAGUGCUACAACCAAAACAAAAAAAAAGAACUAAAUAGCCCAUUCCUCCUAGGGACUCUUGCCCGGCGGGCGCACGCUCAGAAUGAUGUUGACACACACGCGCUGGGAGCCAACAGCAACGCGCGCAUGUUGUCAUCUGUGGAUCCUGAAGCAGUUUUCGUUCUUUCUUCUCGUGUCUAGUUGUAGCUCUACUUCCUUCCUUCCUUCUCAUGUCUGAUUUUAGCCUAGUUUUGUUUCUUCCUUCUCGUAUCUAGUCUCUACUUUAUACGAGUUGAAUUACAAAACUAUACGGAUAAUACGUGCUGAAUUGGCCCAAUUGCCAUUUUAUAUUUCUCCUACGUACCUAGAUUCACGGCCCAACAUUUGAAUUUUAUAAGCUUUUUAUUUCUCUUUCGAGAUAGCGGAAACGUGGGAGAUGAAACGGACGGGAGAAUGGUUUCACAUCUCUAUGGAUGCAAAACAAGUAUAUACAAAGUUAAUAUUAUCUCAUUUUAUGCUCCAUAAAAAUUUUUGCGAGCUUAUUCGAGUUCAAAUUCAGGAACUUUAUACUACCAUAUUUAAAAACUUUGUAUUUUUAAGAUUUAAAAUUUUGUAAUUUCAAACUUAAAUUUUAAAUUCAGGAAUUUUAUACUAGCACAUUUAAAACUUUCUACUUUAAAAUUUAAAACAUCGCAAUUUUAAAUUUUAUUUUUAAGGUUUAGGAACUUUAUACUAGCAUAUUUAAAACUUUGUAUUCAAGCUUCAAAAUUUAUAAUUUUAAACUUAAAUUUUAAAUUCAGGAAUUUUAUACUAGCAUAUUUAAAACUUUGUAAUUUUAAAUUUUAUUUUAAGAUUUAGGAACUUUAUACUAGCAUAUUUAAAACAUUGUAUUUCUAACUUAAAAACUUGUAAUUUCGAACUUUACACUUUAAAUUUAGGAAUUUUGUAUUGGCAUGUUUUAAGAUUCAAAACUUUCUAAUUUAAAAUUUUAUUUUAAAAUUUACGAACUUUAUACUAGCACAUUUAAAACUGUGUACUUCAAGCUUUGAAACCUUACAAUUUUAAGAUUUAAUUUUAAAUUGAAGAACUUAUACUAGCAUAUUUAAAACUUUCCACUUUAAGAUUUGAAAUUUUAUACUUUUAGUUUUUUUUUUAAAAAAAAUCAGGAACUUUAUACUAGCAUAUUUAAAAAUUUAUACUAGUACAUUUAAAACUUUAUACUAGCACAUUUAAAACCUUGUAUUUCAAACUUUGAAACUUGUAAAUUUAAAACCUUACACUUUAAAUUUAGAAACUUCAUACUACCACGUUUUUAUCUUUUACUUUAAGAUUCAAAACUUUGUAAUUUAACAUUUUAUUUUAAAAUUUAGGAACUUUAUACUAGCACAUUUAAAACUUUGUAUUUCAAGUUUUGAAAUCUUAUAGUUUCAAACUUUAUUUUUAAAAUUCAGGAACUUUAUACUAGAUAUUUAAAACUUUCUACUUUAAAAUUUAAAAAUUUAUACUAGCACAUUUAAAAUUUUGUAUUUAAAACUUUGAAAAUUGUAAUUUCAAAUUUCAAACUUUGUAAAUUUAGAAACUAUAUACUAGAACAUUUUAAACUUUUUACUUUACGAUUUAAAAAUUUGUAGUUUUAUAUUUUAUUUUUAAAAUUCACAAAAUUUAUACUAGCGUAUUUAAAAUUUUAUAUUUCAAGCUUUAAAAAUUUUGUAACACUCCAAGUUUUGAAACUUUGUACUAUAAUAUUAAAACUUUAUACUCCUAAGUUUAAAACUUUAUCAUAACGAAAAUUGUUUUGAAACAUAUCCAACAUUGAUAUACUUUUAUAGAUCUCAUCAUAACAAAUGUAAUGGUGCAAAAAUUAGAUACUUGACAAAAAAAUUAUCAUAUUUUAAAGUUUUGUGUACCAUAUGCAUAUUUCGUAUAAACGGGAUCAGACAUAGAUCAGAAAUGUGCAUGCGCCUCCCGCCCCUCCCAUGCGUCCACCCUCCAUGAUCAGUGACAGGGAAAGAAAGAAAACAAACCUAGAACGGAAAGUGGAUACCCAAAAUAGAAAGUGGAUAUGUACUACUUAUAGAUGUAAAAGAAAACAGAGCUAAAAUAGAAAGCGUGCAUGUGACUGGCGCACACAUGCUGAUUAAUGUUUGGGGCCCCUCCUCUCAGCCCUACCCCCUCGCACUCGCUGACACUCUACUCCAUGGCAAGUCUAUCCUCUUUCCCCUAUCUCUCCAUUGGUCCUCCUCUUUCCCCUAUAUACUACAAGAAACUUGUUAAUCCGUGCGAUUUUUUUAUAACAAAUUCACAUUUCGUCAUUGAUAGAUGCAAUCUGUGACGAUAAUUUUUAUUUCGUCAUGGAUAUUGCCCAAUGGAUAUUUUUAGCCCGCUAUCUCAGGACGAUUUUAUUAGAAUCGUCAUAGUGUAUGAUUUUAAAUUCGUCAUACUGUAGUUAGCCUAAAACAAUCGGACUGCUAUCAUAUGUUUGUGGCAAAGAAAAAAAUAAAAAUGUGUUUGCAAAAACAUUCAAACCCAAAUGAUGAUUUGUUAAAUUUUUUGAACUAGGUAAUUUUGUUACUUUGUUGCAUGUAUUUGGUGCAUAUGGUAAACCUAAAAAUAUGAUGCAUAUAUAGGAUGUGCGUAUGAUGUGAUUCUAACUCUAUUUUAUUUGUUUGCUGAUGUUUUGUGACCACAGCGGCGUGGCCCAUUCAAUCGUGCUCAGCAAGGCCAAAUGGGAGUCGAACCCAGCACAAACACAAAAAAAACAAACAUAUAUACCACCGCACCACCUGUUCACUCAUGGUUGAGUAGUAUUCUAUUUUACUUUUGUCCAUUACGGCAAGGGGCAAGGGCACAGGGCCCAGUGGCCCAGUAAGAUACCGUGAUGGCUUUUGUUCUGUUCCCAGUUCCUCACGAUGUGGACGGCGACUGUGUCAAGUCAGCUCGUGCUUCCCCUCACUAUUCCCCAAUCCAGCAAACCCUAAACUCGCCUCUCCGUUCUUGCUCGGCUCUAGCGAGCGGUGGUGCUCGACAUCGACGAGCGGCAGCAGCCGCCAGGGCGGGCGGACGGCAACCGGGGCGGGGCCUCCUGCUGGGCGGUCACAGGAGCGGCGGCAUGGCAGAUCUGCAGAGCAGCGCUACCGCGGCCGGGCAGCGGGGACUGCAACCUGCUAGGCCUGCCGAGGGACGCCAGGACAAUGCCGCCGACCCGCCGUGCAAGCAAGCAGUGGAGGUGAGGGACGACCACCGCAAGUAAGCAGCGGCCUGCGUGCAAGCAAGCAGCAGCUCUGUAGCUGAGCUGAGCAGCAGCGCAGCACCAGGCCACUUGGACGACCAAGAGCUCGAAGGUGAGGGAUUUCCCAAUUAGCUCCUCCACUUUUUUCUGAUCUUGUAGGUCAUCUAUUACUUUGCUAGAAGUUUAAUAAUUUUAAAGCAUAUUGGACAUUUUUGAUGGUAUGUAGGUAGUAACAGUAGCAUUUGUUUUUCAGCAGGCACACAAAAGGCAAGCCUGGAAAUCGGGAUUUCAGAAAAGUUUGCUGGUUUCUACUUCAACUGGUAUGUCUUGGUUUCUACUUCAACUAGUAUGUCUUGAUUUAUGAUAAGUCUGAUUGGGAUUAAGGUGAUAUUGCCUUGCUCUUUUGUUUUGUUAAUUUCAGUAGCAAUAGUGGCAUCGAUGGCAGGAUAAAAUUCCAUUCUCUUUGUUUGUCUACUAGUAAAAUCUAUCAAGUGUUAGCUUAAAAGUUGAAAUUUUAGAGCUACAGAUGAAUGACUGCUCCAUGUGUAUGUAUCUUGAUGGUUCCUGUUAGAAGAAAGGACAUGUAUUUCUUUGCUGUAAACUACAGCAGAAAUUUCUUGAACUGAAACUGACAGCCCAUCUACUACUUUGCUAGUAGUAGUUAAGAUUGAAAAGUCAUUUGCUUUGUGAGGGUGACAAAUAUGAAAUGAUUUUUCUGUCAGAUUGGUUUGAUACAUGCUAGUUUGCUGCUGCUGUUACUGUCUUCUAAAUCACCAAGCAGUAGUGUUAUAUUAUCUUGUCAUUGCAGUGAUAUUUGUUCUUGGAAUCACCAUUUGAUUGAACAUUUCUUUUUCAUGGUUUUCAGGAAAGGAAUUGGUGGAUAAACAAUAUGAAGAAGUGCUUGAUGAAAGAGCAUUAUUCGAGCAUCAUUCUACCGAGGCGGCUGCAUUGAUUAUUUGCUUAUUUGCGGCAUGGUGGAGAGACAAUAUUGGCUAUUUGAAUUAGUGUUUUUUUAAAUUGCCUCAUCAUCAAUGUGUAAACCUUGUGUAUAUAAACAUAUUUACCAAAAUAGUUGUAAAUCUAUAAUUUGAAAUGCAAUAAAGAAUUGUCAAAUAUUUCAUAUUUGUCAUUCAUAAAAGUUUGGGAUUUCCUACAACAAAUAUAGAUGGGCUAUCUAGUGAUAUAAGUAUCCAUGUCAUCAUCCACGUAAACAGUCUAGAUGAUGUGGCAAUUCAUUUGUGACGAUUUAGAACUGUCAAAGGUAAUGGGUUUGGGUUGGGCUAACUAGGUCUUGGGCUCAACUGUGACGGUUUGAGAUCGUCACAGAUUUUGUUAAUCUAUGACAUUUUUGUGAAAAUCGUCACGGAGGUUAAUCCAUGACGCUCAAUAGGUGACGUUCUUUGAAACCGUCACAAACGCUACAUAGUGACGAAUUUUUUGUGAUCUGUGACGGAAAUUUUUCAUCAUGGAUUAACAUAUUCCUUGUACCCCUUACAUCUGGCUAUGCGUGAGAGUAAUGGAGCCAUAAGCAUCACUAUUGCUCUUUAUCUCAUUCUCUACUGCUCUCUCACCACCACUAACCACGCAAUUGUCGUCCACUGCAUUGAGCCCCACCCUUUCACGGAGUCUUCCCUACCUUCAAGAACCCCUAGAGAUGAGUUCUCUAUUGCCUCCUGUCUUCCCGUGGUUUUUCCAAAGCCAACCGAGGCUUUUAUGCCAUUUUAAUCUCUGGAGAGCUCCCCACUACCCUUCGCGUCGCUCCUCACUGGAGUAACUGUUUGGGCCAGCAUAUGCCCCCAACUCCCUAUAGUCAUUGUAGACGGUAUUUAUGCCUUGUUUUUCACUAUCAUAACCGUCAACAUUUCACUCAUAUUGGGAAGAAUCCACUAGACAAGUAGUGACAUAGAUACAAAUAACAUGGUUCCACAUGUCAUUAUUUGGAUGAAGGUGGUCGAUUAGGUACUUUUUAGGGUCUUAGAGCUCAAAAUGAAAGAAGUAGCAAGACUACAAGUUUGCUACAUAAAUUUCAACAUCACAUAAGCAUAGAGCAAGAGAAAUGGAGCAAGGCUGACACCCUGGCCCCACAAUGAGGGGGUCGCCUGACCCCCACCCUAUGGGCCCAGUCAGUGUCAAGCUGGCACAAUCGAUGCUAACCUCCCUAAGCUAAGUCCCAACCCUUGGAUCACAAGUACAACUCAAACAAUAAUCAAGGAGCAAAGUACAAGGAUCAAUGGGCCCUUAACACAGUAACCAAAGCAAAUCAACAGAUGGCACUCUCGAUGACAAGCGGAGACAGCAGGAGAAGGAAGCUGGUGGGACCACCCUAACAUAAGGGGAUCAGCCGAUUAGAGCAUGUAUCUUAGGAAGAAAGACUACACUUGUAGCUUUAGUGUGAGAAUAGAGAGAAGAGAGUGAGGAGUUCCAAGGAGGAGUCCUGGCCUAUUAGGAGCUUCUCCAAGGUGCGCCUCAGCAGAUGCGAGUCUUCCUAUAAGUCUUACAUUUGAGUCUUUUAUAGCAUUUAAUAUUUUAAUCUAGUUCUUUGCGUAUAAAUCAUCUUACUGUGUGCACUGUUUUACUCUGGUAAAUUACUCGAAGCAUUAGCUACACUUAGAGUAAUAAGAUUAGUGUAGACGUGGUGUCUAGACUACAUAUUAUCAGUGUGGGCUGCUUGUCACACUACAAGACACCUACAGCGAGAGUGAUUGACCUCUCUAGGUGGAAAGUUCCUUGUUCGUGUGUUAGGCAAGUUAACUAUGGUGAAAGUCGGGAUGAGUAGGGUGCCGCCUCGGUAGGGGAGGUGGAAAACCUCUUUAACUCGAUCUACCAUUUUGGACACUGCCCCUAGUAAGGGAGGAGGUGGUAAACCUCACUUUAGGUAGAGUAUCAUCACCAAAUAUUAGUGCUAGUUAGACCUCUCUAUACCCAACAUUUACCCUUUGUUCACAUCCUAGCGAUCUUGAACCUAGUUAGUUCACUUCACGUUCCCUGUGGAAAUCACGAUACUUGGAAUACUCCGGGUGAACGAAGGCUACAUUGACUACCGUACACUUGCGAUAUAACCGUUUGCCACUUUUGGUGUCAACAGUCAUCCGAUCCCUACCCAGCCAUUACAAUUACAUAUCCAUUUAAUCUCAUUAAUCGGUCCACCGCGGAUCUGUGGAUAAGGUCCACCGCUCCGGUCCACCAUUGGGUUGCCGCCUCCACCCAAUCUCUGCAAGCGCCACCUCACCAAUGACCCAAUCACCACCGAUAGCCGCUAUCAUAUUUGUGAAAAUCCCCUCUUUUUCCCCUUUAUUAACCUGUCAUUCGUUCUCUUUAGAACACUGCUACAUGAUUGAUUUUGGGUGGUGUCACUUUUUUUUUUGCAGAGGCGGGCAUUCAGGAUGGCUUCCUCGGUUAUUCCAAGGCCGGCCGACCACUGAGCGGUCGCCUUGGUUAAUUUAACGGAGGCGGUCGCCGGUCGCCUUAUUGUGACCGCCUCGGUUAAUCACCCAUUAACCGAUGCGGUUAAUCACUUAUUAAGAAUUGUGUAGUAGUGGAAAGUAUUUCUAUUCUUGUUUAGGUCCCUUCCCUUUUUUGACUUUGAAGCCGUCCAUACCUCGGUGUAAAAUCAAUUUUGAUGUCUUUUAUUUUGAAAACAAGUACCAAUUAUUCACAAGAAUACCACCGGGCCCUAUUUAGGGCUUUAGGCUAUAAUAACUUCUCCGCUAUAGUUUCUUGACUCCAUGUUUUUUGCAUCAAUGUGUUCGUAACAAUGUGUAAAAUAUUUAUAAAACCUUUUCAUUCACCCUAUAUUUCAAGACUGAGAGAGUAGUACAUUUUUUUAAGGAAUGAGAGAGUAGUACAUGAUGGGAUGUCUCAAGAACAAUUUAUACAUACCCAAUUUAUUCGUCAACAAGAUUACAAUCCGAAUGCAUUAGUAUAUUAUAAAUUUCCGUCACAAAUACAAAACAAUACACAAGACUUCUGUUACGUUUAUAUGGCCCAGCGUACACGCUAUAUACGUACGCAAGACGUAUUACAUAUACGUUUUUUUUUAAGGAACUGGAGGGGCCUUGGCCCCUACAGGAAUGUAUUACAUAUACGUUGGCAAAGAUCAGAUGCUGGCUUAUUUCAUGGACGACCGGAAUUCCGGAUCAGAGCGCGCGCGUGUGGUGCCAUUUACGAGGCGAAGGAGGUGAAGCCGCCGGCGUCAGCGCCACCGCCGGCACGGCGGAACCGUGAGACGGCGCAGUCCGUGGCGAAGAGCCCCGAUGAGCGGUACUUGUCGGCGCCGCCCAUGACGGGCAUCUUGGCGCUGAUGUCGAGCUUGUUGACGUAGUCCGGGCGGUAGGUCUGUCCGAGCACGCCGUCGACGUCCUUGGUCAGGCCGCCGUGGAACUGGUAGGAGACGUCGAGGUGCACGAGCGAGUCCUUCCCCGUCUUGCCGUAGGCGUGGACGCGUGAGUCCUCGUCGGUGAUGGGCACGGCGUUGGCGGAGAUGGCGAACGCGCCGUCGAGCUCGACGACGACGGCGUUGGCGGCGGCGUCGGUGCGCGUGACGGUCAGCCCCGGCACGGCGCUCGACGCCCACCGCGCGCCCUUGGACGGCUCGACGUCGACGGGCUCGCCGUCCAGCGCCACCACCACGUGGUCCUCGUCCUCGUCCCACUCCGCGGCCCUGCGCGCGCCCACGUAGAGCCUGUGGCUGUGGGUGCCGUCGCCGGCGCCGAAGGUGACGCCGAGCGCCUGCACCCAGGUGAAGUCGCGGCCGGAGUCGGCGUUGUGGUUGCCCAUGAACCGCGCGUUGAUGUGGAGGCGGUCGUCGGAGACGAGGCAGAAGCUCUCGUCCUUCUUGCCGUGGAAGUAGAAGGUGUUGCCGUCGGCGCCCGUGAACCGCGGGUCGCCGCACGAGGUGCCCGGCAUCAGAUCACACACUGACGACAUCACCGGACAAGAUGAGAGUUAGUUCAUCAUGAAAUCUGCGACGACGCCAGAAAAUAGUGGAAUAUAUAUAUAUAUAUAUAUAUAUAUAUAUAUAUAUAUAUAUACACACGGUAGCGCUAUUCUACACCCUAGCAAGCCAAAUUUAAGCAGAAAAAAUACUGAGCAGUACUGAACAUCGUUCAGUAUCAUCCAACACUACACUCAGGACCACAAAAUACUGAAAAAUACUGAAACACGGGUACUGAACAAUACUGAAAUUUAUUAUGUAUAACACUUUGGUGUAGAAUAGUAUUCUACACCUAGGGUGUAGAAUAGCACUUAUAUAUAUAUAUAUAUAUAUAUAUAUAUAUAUAUAUAUAUAUAUAUAUAUAUAUAUAUAUAUAUAUAUAUAUAUAUAUAUAUAAUAUAAUAUAAAACACUUACUGCAGAAGGUGAGGCAGUAGGCGCAGUAGGCGAGGCACUUGUUGGGGCAGCGAGCAGGGCACUUGACGUAGCAGGAGGCGCCCCAGUCGGUGGUGCAGGUGAUCUCGUAGUUGCGCUUGUGGUGCCUGUUGGCGACGACGGUGGUGAACUUGCCAUUGCGAGGGGGCUUCUUGGGGUCCCCCGGCGUCGACGUCCUCUGGGGCUGCUUGCUGGGCUUCCGGGAGACAAACUGCGCCGACGCCGACGACGACAGCGCCAGCAACGCCACCAGCAGCAGAGCGGCAAUGGCUCCUCCACGGAUGGCCAUUGCUGCUAGCUGGACCUACUAGGACCGGUAGAGGUGAGUGAGUGUAGCCAAGCUGUAGACGACAGAGAUGAUGGCUGGCUGGAGAUGGGGAUGAAUUUGUGUUGUGUGCUCUCUGACGACCAUGGAGUCUUAUAUAUGAUCGAGGCGUGGCUUUUCGAGGGGCUGGAUGGAUUGGAUUGGAGGUGAAGUGGCUUGAGAGGCAAGUGGCGUAGUAGGCGGCAAAGUGAGAGUGCAGGCGUGCAUAUUCGUCGUCGUUCGCCCAGCGGCCGGAAUUAAGGGGUCGUCGUCUCACGGCGAUCGAGCUCAAGGUGGAAAUGAUGGCACGUAUGUCGUCGUCGUCGUAGCCGACUAGCUGUACGCGGCAGCCGGCAAAGCUACUGUGCAUGUUACUGGUAUGAUAUAUACCGUGCGCUACGCAACGUACGUGUAGUAUAUGCAGUCUCGGCUAGUCCAGCUUUUUCUUUCUCUGAGAUGACGAGGAUGGGAUGAGUUGACUUGCAUAAGUCAUAAAGGGCAUUUUAAUUUUUUUACUCUAAUAUUUCAUAGCGUUAUUUCUGAGACUAUCACAUUAACUAGCUUAUAAUAAAAUCUAGAUAAAACAACAAUUCUUAAUAUAUUGUUUCAUUUUGUUGUUUUAUAUAAACUGUCCAUAUAACAUUAACUACAUACAUGGCCACAUGGGUAAUUAGUGCCAUAUUUCUAGCUAAAAACAUCCGCAGGGUUAUCAGGGUCAGUUCACUACAUGAUAUAUUUUUUUUUUUUGAACUUUAGUCGUAGUGUUUUGCUAAAGGUUUUAUAAAUUUUAUCUGGAUUAACUGAGCCCAAUAAAUUAAACCCUCUAAAGUCUCCCUUUGGAAUAAUGUAGAUUGAGAAAACUGAGCCAAUCUAAGUUAGUUCUUGACUCCCUUCUUGAAAAUGUUGUCAUAUCAUAAAAAAUGCCUAUGUGAAACCAACUGCCCGUCUUUAGGAAUCAACAAUUUCUAAAGGCACCAAUCUCUAGUAAUCAUUUUACAUAAUUUGAUUUAGAACUUCGAAAGUUAACUACCACAUAUUACUACAUCACUACCGGGUCUAAACCCAGCAUCAAUCCGGGAGUGACAAGUGAUAAAAAGAAAAUGUGGUCCGUGAACUUAUACUAAGUAUUUGAUCUUAUAAACCAUUUCAACUUGUGAGGACUUAAAAUAGAAUUCCCAGGUCCUAAAUUUCAUAUGAAAAGUAGUAAACUAUAAAGAUGUAAAUCUCGUUAGGUACUGUAACUUUGAUUUAUCAUUUUCUCGAUCCAUCCGAUGUCAUUUUUUAGAAACUUCAAAAUAUUGAAUUUCAAACUAUGAAAACUUUAAAUAACAUUUUUGUGUGAUUUCAAAAUGUAGAGGUCAUAACAACAAAUUUGCAGAUUUUUUUGGUACUAUAACUUUAAUAUAAAGUUUGUCUUCAUAUGACUUUAUUUAUAAAAGUUAAAAACUUUACUAUGCUCCACCUAUUUUUACAGACUGGCUAAAUUGUUAACCGCCUCUAUAAAUCUCUCUGAGAUGGCAUGAAAAUAAGGCUGAACCACCUCUAAAAAUGCUAUUUUAAAGAUAGUUCAGCUUGCCAGCUAUCUCCAAAAAUCAAUCUAUAGAGACAGGUCAGGUAAGAAACUAUUUUUAGAGGUAGAUUCUAAUAAAGCUACCUCUACCACAAAAUAGAGAUGCCUCUAAAAAUGGUUUUUGUAGUAGUGUAUAUAAGUGUGAGCUUGUGCUGGUUUUUGUGUUGAAGUGUAUAUAAAAAAAACAAGUCAAAGAAAGAAUUGAGGAUUCUAUUUUUCUACAUACUUGGUAAGUCCAGGAAAGGUCAAUUUCUAGCAUUGUACCAAGUUAAAGUAUCUUAAUAAGUUUGACUAACUCUACGUAAAAACCACGUCAAUAUUUAUAAUAUCAAAUAAGUAUUGGUAGAUUAUCAUGAGAUAUAUAUUAUUAUAGUAUACUUAUUUAUCACCAUAAAUAUUAAUAUUUUUAUCCACAUAUUUGGUUAAACUUUAGAAAUUUUAACUAAUAAUAUUUCUAGAAUCACAUUCUUUGACCGAGAGGUAGUACAUAUCAAGCUUGUGUUUUUUUGUUGAAAGUCCAGCCAUCUGAAAUGAGAAAUUUGUGAUUCCGCCAAAUUCCUAGUCAAUAGAAGUCCUUUGCAUUUGAAGGAAAAACGAUGUAGAGUGUUGACCAAACUAAUGUUAGAAAAUUGAUUAUGCUAGGUUUUACUUUCAUUCUUGACUAGAAUGAGCUAGGGAGGAGGAGUUGACCUUCAUGUAUAUACUACUAUGGGAUUCGACUAAUCUACCGCAAAUCUUUGUUACCUAGCAUGUCCUAGUGAACUAAUUUCCUCUCUGUCCGAAGUCAUGCGUAUUUGUCUCGUACUAGCGCACACACACACAAACCAAGAACGGGGUACAUAUAAAAAUAAUAAAUUGGCUGUGCACUUUUUAAUUUUGAAACUUCUUAUAAUUGGGUUAGCCCGCGAAACCAUAUAUAUUUAAUUUUGUGGGGCGCAAAAUCCUAUAUAUGAGUUUGUAGGUUAGAGCAGGUAUAACAAUGGGCUUUUAUAGCCAAGCUAAUGCUGAUGUGGAGGAGAGAAGAGAGGAGAAAGAUGAUAGUUUGGCUCUCAGGCUAAGCUCAAUACAUGUUUCAUGAGAAUGUCAUAAAACUAUGCAUUGUGAGACUGGCCUCAUGUAAGCACCAAGCUGGGCACGGAUGCAUAGGUAAUGAUUGGUCCAAAUAGCAAGUGUUGUGACAAGGAAUAGGAAAGAGAAUAUAUUUUACAGAUAAGUAUGAGACAACUUAUUGUAUAACUUAUUGGCUCUAAUCACUUGGCUUAUAGCCAAGCACUUGGCUCUAUUAUUGACCUUGCUCUUAUAGCCCAUUUACAUCCAUUACUACUUACCUAUAAGCAACUAAAAGAUUGACUAGCAGACACCACAAGCAAAGUUACACCCGACGGCAAUACAUCGUCACUUAACAUUGGAAGAAUACCGUCAUUUCUUCGUAGAAGGGGGGCAAAAAAUCCACACACCACAUGCAUGCACCGAGUCGACGAGGAUUUGAACGUGUAAGCAACUGAGCUGUAUCCUCUGUAUGUUCACAAUGCAACCACACACAUCAACCUAUCAAAUAGGACAAAACAUAGUCAAUUGAGUGUGGUUAUAAGUUGGGCGUAUGCGUAUCUAUCCGUGUUCGAUCGAGUGACCCUUCAACUAAACACUUUCUUGUUUCAGAUGUAGCGCUGGUGUUCAUUUGAGUGACAUGCACUCAAAAUGCAAGUAAAGAACAUGUUGAGCCGUCUGGAGUCGUGCGCGUUUGCUAGUCAAACUAACCCAAAUUGGUGGCGCUCGCGUACAUGCAUGCGCCGGCCGGCUAUAGAUCAGCGCCAUGCACCACACCACCAGCUGAAGCCGGCUGGGCGUCGGCACAGCCGGGAGUAGCACGUUAUGUUACGCGCACUAACUUUUUCCUUUCUGAGACUCGUACUAACUGCCUAUAUUGUAUAUAUGCAUGUACACACAAAGAAAAGAAAUUAUUUCCUUGGCCCUAAAAAAUGCUGCUUAGGCUUUGUUUAGUUCGCGAUAAAUUUUGUGUUUCGCUACUGUAGCAUUUUCGGCUUUAUUUGGUAAUUAUUAUUCAAUUAUAGACUAACUAGGCUCAAAAGGUUCGUCUCGCAAAUUACAAAUAAACUGUGCAAUUAAUUAUCUUUUUUAUCUAUAUUUAAUGCUUCAUGCAUGUGCUGUAAAAUUCGAUGUGAUGGGGAAUCUUGAAAAUUUUUGAGAACUAAACAAGGCCUUAGUUUUGUAGCCUCUUUUUUUCCCCCGAAUUUGCUUAUUUCACCCUAAAACGAAUUUUCUUUGGUUUCUUGGCCCUUGCGUUGGGCUAACAGUGCCGAAAGCAACAGUUCAGCAACCUACAGUCAGGUCUUUCAUGGUAUCUACUAUCAAUAAUUUUUCCUAAAAUAAAUUAUAAUAUUUUUUCAAACAUGGAAUCAUUGUUUUUAUAUAUAUUUGUAUAUGACAACAUCACACUUGGACAAACCUUGCAACUUUUAUAUGUAUUUGCAUUUUCCCAAAAUAAUGUUGUCAUAUGCAAAUAUAUAUAAAAAAUAAUGAUGUCAUAUGCAAAAAUAAUGUUUUCAUAUGCCCUUCCGUUACAUUUGCAUUUCCCAAAAUAAUAUUGUCGUAUGAAAAUAUAUAAAGAACAAUAAUGAUUCCAUGCAUGAAAAAUAUUGUACCUUAUUUUGGUAAAAUUAUUGAUAGUAGGUAGCCUGAAAGACCUCAAUAGAACAACCAUAGGUCGUUGAACUAUUGGUUUCAUUCGGGCACAAGGGUAAAAAGGGCCAAGAAACCAAAGGAAAUCCAUUUUAGGGCCGAAUAAACAAGUUCGAGAGAAAAAGGGCGGGCCCUGUUUUGCUGGCUAGAAAAAAGUUGUUGUUGAUGCUGAUUUAUUAUGAGAGAAAGAUAUUGUUCUAUAGUUAAAAAGUAAUACCGAUAAGUUCAAACGAACAUAAAGUAAGCAACACUACUUUGUUUAGGGCCAAGAACAACUUUUUUAAAAAAAGGAAAGAGAAAAUAGAAGAAGGGCCGGUAGUAAACAUGGACCGAUCCGCUCCUUAUUGGGCCCUCCGCGUGUGGGUGGGGACAACCGAACGAGUUGAUUGUAUUGGUGAUGCAAAUGAUUCGGCCCAACACAUAAACGUGAAUUUCAAACGCAUGAUAGAGGAUCUGCUAAUAAUAAUAAGAGUGGCCCUUUAACUUGUCAGCCUGUGCCACUUUGGUCCAUGAACUUGCAAACUCGAAAAAGUGACCUCUGAACUUGUCCGCCUGUGCCACUUUGAUCCAUGAACAUGCAAACGCGAAAAAGUGCCCCCUGAACUUAUCGACCUGUGCCACCUUGGUCCAUGAACAUGCAAAAACGAAAAUAACACCAGUUGCAUGGUAUUGUUCUGCCACGUGGCCGCCUCUGGUAGGCCAUGCAUGGCACCGUUUAUGGUGUUGACAUCAGCGAUGAUGUCAGCACUUCUUUUUUAAUUUACGAAAUUGAUAUAUUUUUAUUCGUAGCCUCAAAUAUAUCAAAUAAUAUAUCAAUUCGUUGCAUUUAUUAAUUAAAAGAGAUAAUUUUAAAACAAGCAAAAAUUAUUCGUUUUCUAUGUUUCAUAUUUUUCCUAGGCAUAGUACAUCAUGAAGAGGCUUCACAAAACAUUUCAUGAAUUUAGCAUUUCACUAAUAAUUAGUUAUGAAAUAAACAAAUAUUUGUUGACGCGUUGAAAGAGCCUUUACACGCAUGGACCAAAGUGGCACAGGCCGACAAGUUCAGGGGUGAAAGGUCCUAAUAUGGCUAGAGGGGGGGUUGAAUAGCCUAUUUAAAAAAUCUACAAACUCACUAGAGCAAGGAGUUAGUAAAUAACAAAGCAAAGCUUUUUGCUCUAGCUCUAAAAGGGUGUUUGCAAGCCACCUACCCAACAAUUCUAGUUGCUAUGAUCACUAUGCACACAAGAACUAAGCUACACAAGGCAAAGUAAGCAACUAAACUAAUUACACUAGUUUGCGGUAAGUAAAGGAUAGGAUGAGAUAUUUAUACCACCGUGUAGGGGAUGAACCAAUCACCAAUAUAAACAAUCAAGCACCGGGAGAAUGCCAAUCAAACAUAAUUGAGACACCGAUUUUUCUCCCGAGGUUCACGUGCUUGCCGGCACGCUACGUCCCCGUUGUGUCGACCAACACUUGGUGGUUCGGUGGCUAAGAGGUGUAGCACGAACCUCGUCCUCACUAGGACACCACAAGAACCUACCCACAAGUGAGGUAACUCAAUGACACGAGCAAUCCACUAGAGUUACCUUUCGGCUCUCCGCCGGGGAAGGUACAAGACCCCUCACAAUCACCGGGAGAUGGCCACGAACAAUCACCAACUCGUGCCAAUGCUCCUCCGCUGCUCCAAGCCGUCUAGGUGGCGGCAACCACCAAGAGUAACAAGAAAACCGCAGCUAGAACGAUCCCCAAGUGCCACUAGAUGCAAUCACUCAAGCAAAUGCACUUGGAAUCACUCCCAAUCUCACAAAGAUGUUUAAUCUAUGAAGGAGAUGAGUGGGAGGUGUUUGCUUAGGCUCACAAGGAUGUCAAGUAUGCUAGAAUGCCAAGAGUGUGAGCCCCAAGCCAGCCAAACACGUAUUUAUAGCCCCUCAAACAAAUAGAGCCGUUGGCUCUUUCACUGGGCGAAAUACGGGGUCACCGGACGCUCUUAAAGGGGCACCGGACGCUCAACACCAGCGUCCGGUGCUCCAACGUCAGCCACGUGUCAUGCUCGUGUCAGAAUCUAACGGUCACCUGCAGUGCACCGGACGCUGAGCAAGUGAGCACCGGACGGUCCGGUGCACACCGGACUCAUGCGCAGAGAGCUCUGCAAACUUGCAUGUUCACCGGACGCGAGCCACCGGACGCACCCUCAGCGUCCGGUGCUCACCGGACCCAUGCGCAGAGAGGGUCGCAAAACGCCCGCACACCGGACGCUAACCACCGGACGCUCAAGCCAGCGUCCGGUGCCUGUCGUCCGGUGCCUAACCCUAACCGAGUCAGGCAGCCUGCACACCGGACGCUCAGACACAGCGUCCGGUGCCUCUGAGCCAGCGUCCGGUGAGUGUUUUCUCAGCGAGAAACACUCCCGCGACUUCUCCAAAUUUCCCACCGGCGCAAUAGAAAAUAUGCACUUCAUUUUCUCGAAAAGCGCCGAAUCCCGCCUCGCAAGCUCGGCGGGAGGGAGAGAGGAACCCAUCCCCUCUCUACUCUUGAAACUCCACCUCCUUAUCAAAGUGUGCCAACACCACAACGUGUGUACCAAACGAGCGUGCACGUGUGUUAGCAUUUUCACAAUCAUUUUCUUUGAAGGAGUUAAGUUAGCUCACUAGGUUCUAAAUGCAUGCACAUGAACAAAGACACCUAGUGGCAAUUGAUAACCGCUUAGCCAAAGAAUUCCCCUCUUUAUAGUACGGCUAUCUAUCCUAAAUGUGAUCACACCCUCUAUGGUGUCUUGAUCACCAAAACCAAAACCCUAAGCAAUACCUUUGCCUUGAUCUCCAAAGAGUUUUGUUUUUCUCUUUCUUCUUUUCCAAGUUGAGCACUUGAUCAUCUUGUGGUCAUCACCAUCAUCACCAUGAUCAUUACUUGCUCCAUCACUUGGCAUGUACCAACCUCAUUAAGUCUACACACACUUAGUAUAGAGGUUAGUACUAGGGUUUCAUCAAUUAUCCAAAACCAAACUAGGGCUUUCAAGGGGCCACUGUUUUGCGUUUGUAAGUUCAUAGACCAAAGUGGCACAGGCGGACAAGUUCAGGGGUCACUUUUUCGGGUUUGCAAGUUCAUGGACGAAAGUGGCACACGUUGACAAGUUAAAGGGCCGCCAGUGUAUUUUACUCUAAUAAUAAUAUCUACUAUAAUUCACCUAACAGAAUUAUGGUUGGUCCACCAAAAAAACUACUCACGUUGUGGGCCUCAAUCACUAUGUAUCUCUACUAUAAUUUAUCAGACAGAAUUAUGCUUGGUCACAAAAAACCACCCCCGUUGAGGGCUAUCAUUAUGUAUAUCCAGGAAACAUAUACAUAAUUUUGUCUCCAUCAAAAUCAAUAUCUCAAAACCAAUCAGAACCAAAUCCAAUGACUGUAGAGAAAAAUUUAAAGCCUGUAUCAAACUCCUCACCCCCUCCCGCGCUCCUUCCCCCUCAUGCGAUCGAUGCUAGUGCUCUACUCCCACGCCCGCAAAAAUCACGGACAAAGGGGCAGCGUCGACUAGCUCCGGAAGGAUCGGCGCACCCUCCCCCUCCCCCCACCCGGCCCCCGAUUGUGAGAUCCACAUCAACAGCGGUAGAUCACCGCCAGUGCCAUUCUGCAACUCGUGCUCGGUGCCGAGUGCAGGGCAGAUGCAGGGCCUCGCCCCGCUCACGCUCAACACCGGAACUAAAGAUGAAUUUUUACACGAAAUUCAAAACCCGAUAGGUAAUUACCUCAUUAGGGUAAGGGUAUGACAAUUUUUUUACCCAUAGGUAAGAUAAUAGGAAAAAAGCUUUACCCGGCGGGUAAAGCGGGUGGAGUAUGGGACUGCAUUGCCCAUACCCAUUAAGCCAUGUGUAAUUUUAACCCGAUUCAAUAAGUUAGAAUCAUGGGCCAAAAUCACCAUACACAACCCAAACCCAGUAAAAUCAUAUAUAAUGCUGUCAAACCCUACGCCCUCACCUUAAUACCUCACCCACUUUCCUCUAUCUCCUUGCGGCGGCCACACAGCACAGGAACUUGUGAAAGUUGCCACUUGUUAUCUAGUAAUGAUGGAUUUAUCUAUUAGAUUACUUGAUCAGGUGUUCAUGGAGCUUGUAUAUUUGAUAAUUUUAUUAAUGACUUGUGAUGCUUUGACUGAAAUUGGAAGCCUGAAAUAUUUAAAUAUGUAUUUAUUUUUUGCAAGUAUUCUUGGAAUCAUGGGUAAGGAUAACCCAUGAGUUACCCGUUACCCGCGUGGGUAAGGGUAUGGGAAAAAACUCUUACCAAUACAUGGGUAUGGGUAAAUUAGUGGGUAAAGUAUUUUCUCGUAGGUAAAGAUAUGGAUAGCAUAUACACAGCGGGUAAUUACCCAUUGCCAUCUUUAACCAGAACGGGCAGCACUGUGUGUGUGGUGGUGGUGGAGGGGUGGGGGGCUAAGAGCGUGGCGGUCAAUAGGUGAAGGCAACGCCAGGACACCAAUGGAGCGCCUCCGACUCAUAUCCAACCCCCACCGAUGCGAAGGCACAUGAGCUAAAGUUUCAGUCAUUUGUGAGAAGGCGAGCGAAGACUGACGGCGGCACGUGAGAUGAGAGCAUGUGUGGGUGUGCGGCCACACCUUGGGGCCACGCUCCUCUUGCGGCAGUCUGUCACUUACGCCUCUGGUGUCACUCUCCCAUGUAGACAACCGCCCCAUCUUUUCUCUAGCAGGGUAACAGCACCAGCUAUUGCUUUGCUUCUUCCCUGUCUAUUUGCAUCUGCGGUAAGGCUUCACAGAAGGCUGGAGAGUUUAUAUUUCAAGUCUCCGUCUCAUGUUAUCGAAAGUUUAUUUUCAAUUUAUAUUUCAAUUUCUUUGGGCUUUGCAGGAGGUUGACAAAGUGCAAGAAAAUUUGGAGAUGAUAAAGAUUCUGAGCACAAUUCUGAUAGCCUUGAUGGCCCUGACACUGCGUCCUUCACAACAUUCUUGAUCUCAUUUUGUCAUCAUCGAGCUCUGAUAAUGAUUCAAUGGAGAUCAUUCCUGAACAGAAUGGGGACAUGGGAUACCCUACGUUAACACCCAUGGGGAAGGGGAAGCAAGGGAAGAAUAGGUCUGAUAGGUAAGGGGAAGCACUCAUGUGGGAGCCUCCAGCACUGGGUCUGCCCUUUUUAAUUAAGGCGCCAAGGAUUGGUGUAAUUGCAGAGCCAAAAAUUGACAGGGAGGCAGCAACUCAUAUUGAACCAGAUGCACCUGUAAUGGAGAGGCAGAAACCAAAGGAAGUUGCUUACUUCAGUAGUUUGCCAACUAUGCCGGAACCAUCUGUUCUUUUGUCAGAACUGAUGCAAUCGAUUCUUUAUGCCUCUCUCCCGGUUCUUUGCCUAGGGAAGGAACUGGGUCUUGCGAGAUAGGUUUAAGAUAUCUCCUAUUCUGAUAUGUUCUAACUUUUGAUCAUGUGUCUCUACUAUUAUCUAAUUUUUAUGUUCAUAGUUGUGCAGUACAUGGAGGCAUGGCAUAUCUUUAUCUACUUUAUAAUUGUUCAGAAGGAGCAUGCUUUGCCCUGGUUUCUCACUCUUGGUAAUGUUACUAUUUCCUAAGUAGCUCAAAUGUUAUGUUUUUUUUUCACUAUUACUUCAGAGACGAUAGCCUAUCUCACUAUUUUUAUCCAUUUCAUGGAAAUCUUCACCAUCGUCUCUUGGCAAAUUUAGAAGCAAACAAAUGACAUAAUAUUUGAUAGAGGAAGGUCUUUUUAAAUUCUUGGAAGGUUCUCUUUCUUGAGGAGGCUAAACUUUAGGCACAUAAAUUUCUUGAUGAGGCCAAACGAGCCACUUUUCUUCUUUGUGUAGAGCUUCUUGUUUAGUUAUGUUUUGUUUUUCUUUUGGCCUUUUUAGGCCGGCCCCUGCCAAAUAUGUUUGUAUAGUUUUUUCUCUCUCUUUUAAUAAAAGCCUACAGUGGGGGCAUCCCCUGCUAUAUUUAAUGUUCAAAAAAAUAUUUUUGAUGUACUUUUUGGUUAAAUUUAGCUGUAUAAUACACAUUCUUUUAAUGGCGUAUUGGCUUAGAGCAAUUCCAACAACUUGGGUAUUCUUGUUGUGGAGGCUAUUUUGGAAUUUGCAUAACAAAAAGUAGACUCCAACAGAUGUGCUAUCUAGUUUUGUAAAAUAGAAAGUUGGCUAUUCCUUAAUUUUCGCUGGCCAUGUAUAGCCAACCACUGACACAAGCUAUAUGAUUUUGUAAAAUAGUAAGACUAUUGUGGAUCUAUUUUUUUUUUAAAAAAGUUUUCUACUUUACAAAAUAGCUAAACAAUAGAAUUUGGCUACUAAUUUUAGCCGGGCUCUUGGAGUUGCUCUUAUGUACCAAACAAAUCUUUCCUAUAAUUCACUUAAUAGAAUUAUAUACUUGGUCCACCCAAAAAAACCACCCCCGUUGAGAGUCUCAACCAUUAUGUACCUAGAAAAACACAUAUAGGAUUUUGUCUCUAUUAAAAUCAAGAGCUAUAUGAGCAAAACAUUAAAUAAUAUAUAAAAAAUAAUAAUUCCGGAGACCAAACAUGGUAGUUGUACCAAGGAUGUUGGUGAUAUCGGGCGUAGACAUUGCAAUGUCCCAGAGCGUGUUGUCGUAUGUGAGAAUACCGCCGCCGCGCAGAUCAGCCGCAACAUCCGCUCGUGAUAUCCUAAUAUUUGCCGCAACAGUCGUGGAUCAGCCGUCAACAGCCGCGGCCAUCCACAAGAAACGGAUCGCACGCUGGAUCGAUGCUCGGUUCGUCAGCUGGGACGUCGUCCCGAUGGCCGCUGGAUCGUGAGCCUCUGAUGCAUGCGUGCGACGCUAGGGCCGAGCCCUGGGAGGCUGGCGGUGGCGUAUGCUUCCGAUGUAUUUGCGUCAGUCAAAAAGAGAACCUGUGGGCCUCCAGCCCAAACGGUGCAGCGAGAAUUGACUCAUAUUCUUUUUAUCAUAUAUCUAAGGCCUUGUUUAUUUCCACUCAAAAAUCUAAAAUUUUUCAAGAUUCUCCAUCACAUUGAAUCUUUAGACGCAUACAUGAAGUACUAAAUAUAGAUAAAAAUAAAAACUAAUUGCACAGUUUGGUGGAAAUUUACGAGACGAAUCUUUUGAGUCUAUUUAGUCCAUGGUUAGACAAUAAUUAUCACAAACAAACGAAAAUGCUACAGUGUCACGAAAUUUUUUUCCUUCACCAACUAAACACGGCCUAAGCAAUCUAAAAUUAUAUAGCACACGUGAUUAUCAUCUUAUACUUGCGGUUGUUUCUAUAAAUUGUUUUAUGCCACCUAUAAAAAAAUUGUCUAUGAACUCAAAUAUCUCAAUAUCACUAUUCUUAUUUCAUAGCUACGUUCCAGGUAUAUCGUCCCAAUUAUUUAGGGAUCCCAUUCCUCGUCAUGAACCAAUCGUCCCAAAGAGGCAUACCCCUUACGAACCGGGAACUUAAAAUUAUCGAUCCACAUCCCACGUUCCUCGUACCUACAUACCGGAAACUUUUGUGAUUGUGCUUCUUUUAUUUUGGAUGUAGCUGUCUUGCAGUACAUGCUGUAUAAAAUUCCCAAAAUUCUUUGGAACUUCUUGCGCUGAUGUAAAAACAGCAAAAUACAAAUGUAUUUUAUAAUCUCCUUUACUCACAGCACAGCCAUUCUUGUUUCUGUGGCUAAAUAUAUUUUAGUAAUCUCCUCCCCUCAUCACUGAUAAUGUCUAAUUGUGUGAUGCACAUGCUAAGUGGCUAACAAUGUAGUUCAGGAAAACAUGCAAUAGGUUAUUAGAAGAAUGUUGAGAUGACCAUUCAUAUAUAUUCUAGAAAUGAGUAAAAUAGGAAACGUAUCUGGUGCAAACCAUAACUUCAUGAAAACCUAUGCAAACCAUGACAAAAGAGUUAUCUGAAUUCACCAAAAAAAUCACACAAGUAGAUGAUAUGAUGAUACACAACCUUGUAAAAUAUCUUAUCCAAACUCGAAUUCGUUUAUGAUAUAUAAAAAUAACAAAUUUCAAUAAUCUUUUCUUUUUGUGUUUGCUUUACUGACAUGUUCGUUCACAUUAACCUGCAAUGCAGUACAGGUUAUUACUAUAUGCAUGUUUUCAUUCUUUGAACUUGCACCAAAUUUUGUUAACCUAAAUCAGUUCAAGCUAUUAGAGUAUGGCUAUCCCGCUUACUUACUCGAUUCUCUUGCAAUUAGAGUAUGGUUAUCCCACUUACUUACUCAUCUCUUGCAAUUAGAGUAUGGAUUAACCAAACAUGUUUUUAGGAGAUGGUGGUCAUGAACUCAUGAUCACGUUAGGUGAAGGCUUGGCAAAUCUUCGACAGCCACGACAACCCCAAUGUCGAGGUGCAUUUUGCUGUCUUCCAAGGACUGUGAAUUUUUGAGUGCUCUGUGUUGCAUUGUUCCUCAGCCAGUGGUUGGCUUGCUUAGGUGUGUCGAGGGAUUUGAGUGGUGAGAUUAGUCGAUGUUCUGUUGCUCAAUGACACUGUGUCUUUGUUGGUUGUGGAUUUUGAUUCAAAAGAAGAGUUGUCCCAAAAAAUCAACAGAAGGGUUAAUCUUAAUAGCCCUUGUUACCAGAGUUUAUAUAUAGUGUUGCAGUCACUGAGACUAAAUUUGAUCAUUUGGUCAAUUUUGAUGCAUGGAUAGAGGCGUCUUUCUUCCUGUAUGUUGCUAAGUAUGAUUCCACAAUGCUUGUCAGUAUAGGAGUCAUUGAGACGCCUUUUCGUACGAGAAUAUCUUUCUAUUCAGAAUGCAGGAGUCGACGCCUUUUUAUAGAUAAAUUAUCAGUAUAGGUGCCUUGUGUCAGUUUUGCUUGUGCCAAAGUUUUUGUGGCUUCAGUUAGUUGUCAAACAACAUUUUAGAAAUUAACUGUUGUGACUUCAUGAUUGCUGCUCUAUUUUUGACUUACAUAUCAGGUUUCUUUUGCUCCUUUACUGAGCAGCACUAGGGCAACAGGUGGCUGUUGACACUUCUUAACGCAAUUCCUAAAAAUAGACUUUUAAACCUAUCCCUAGCAACAGCGUCAAAAUUACUUAAUAUCACUUAAGCUAGGUUGUCAUCCCUAACAUGAUGUAGAAGUGCUGGUAUUAAAUCUAUAUGCUUUUCUAGGAAUAAAUAAAUAAAGGAUCCGCAAGGGCACAAAUAAUACCGAUGUAGUAUUUUAACCAGGAGUAUUCCAGGUAUCAUUAUUUAUAUUUUUACCACUAGGAAGGGACUUGCAAUGGAUAAUGAGCAAUGAGCACCGCAUGUAAUCAUGGAGACCUUAACCAUGCCUUUAUCUAUCUCUCAUGCAGGGUAAGUGUCACAUAAGAUAAAUAUAUGAAUAUGAAUAAUAAGUGACAGAUGAUAAAUAAGAAUUCAUAGCCAUAAGAUAAACAUGAUAAUCAUCUCAAUUAGAUUACUCUAAGUCUAUAACACUAGCAUAGUAUUAGGACAAUCUACAAGAAUAAAUCCUAAGUAUUCUAACUAUAUUGUCAAAGCAUACUUUAAUUAGUGCAAGUACACUUAGCAUCGUCACUAGAAAAUGUUAUAUCUAUGCAUAGUGAUAUUAGCAAAAAAGAUCAGGAACAUAACAAUCACUUUCCUGUAAUAAUGGUGCUCUACAAUCCUUAUAAUCGGGAGAAGGAAUACAAAGGACUCAAUAGGACUGUCACUCCCGUGAUCUAUCUCAAGCUCCAGACUAUAAGGGGUAAUCGCAGAUAAAUACGGUCUAGGUACCUCGCCUACACAAUAUCUAUCACUUACCCAUCGGCCUAAUGAGUAAGCGCUAUAUGAUCCUAUGCAUAAACAUAAUUCUAAUCUAACUACGCUAAGCAUAUAAUCAAAGUAGUCUAAGAACAAUAUAAUUGAGAACAUAAGCAAAUAGAAUAAAGUCAAUUAUGAUAUAAUCAAAUAGAUCAAAGUCAUAUUCAUAGUAGCAAGAACUAAUAUAAAUAUAACAAAAAGAAUAAGAGUUUACCAAGAACUGAAGAUAGAUCCGGACCUCAAGAUUGACUUGACUCCAUCUAGAUCUAUUCCUAUGUAGCUAUGCUAAAGAACUAUAGAGAUCUAAUUAAGAUGGUGGCUAAGAACCUAUAGAGAUAGAUCCAAUCGAGGGAUCCCUCUCUGUCUAAUUCUUCUCAGAGAAUAAUGAACUCUUAUUAUUAUCUCUUCCUCCAGGGGGGUCAUGGUAUUAUUUAUAGCUCCCUAGGAAGCACCACAGCCUUUGGAUCAAACUGACUUAAACGUGCGUUUAAGAUUAAUCCUCAAAGUCGGUGGAUGCAGGAUCCACGAGGUGGAGCCUGAUUGGCUCUACCCACUGGGUGGCCACCCCUGACAAGGUGGGGCGCCCGCCCCUGCCCUAUGGCAUGUGGACCCCACCUUUCAAGUGGUGUCUUCCCAUGUCUUCUAGAGUAUUCCUGAGUUGACGUUUCACGUAUUCUCUCUAUGUAAAUCUAACAUGUGAACCUCCUUUUGUUCUUAUUUCGAUAACCCCCUGCAGAAAUAGACAAUCACCAAAACUUGUGAAAUUCUGUUAGUGAUAACCCCUAUAGCUAGAUAGUCUUCUGAUUUAUGUCCUUUCUCAUGCUAUGUUGACGGUUAAAAAGAGUACUUAUAUCGUUUGGUCAUUUUAUGUGCAUCCCUGAAAUGAAGUCGUGGCAUUAGCACGUGCACUCUACUAGUUUCUAUAAUAUACUAAAAAUGAUGCAAUGAAUUGGAAUCUCUCUAAGUUGUCUUGUUAUACUCAAUUUAUGUUACGAAAUACCACCGUAGUUCAAUUAUUUUUCAUUUGCAUCCCUCACCUUAGUUUAGUUUUUUCAUAUGCAUCCCUCAAAUGAAGCCGUGGCGUUAGCACGGAUAUUAUACUAGUAAUAAAAAAAAGCAUGAUAGAGGAGGAUAAGAGGAUCCCUGUCGCCAAACAACGGAAUCAGCACGCGCCUGGCGCCUUCCCUCGCAGAAGCCGCACCGUGUGCCCACAACGUUUGUCAUCAUUGGGGGAUGGAGGCUAAAAGGGGGCUAGUGAGGCAGACAUGGAAGAUACGAAACUGCACUACAAAAGGAGAGAGGGAGGUACAGAUCGGUUGAGGGGGGGAGGUAUAGGGAAAAUGGGUCAGGCAAAGGCUUGGAUCAAAUUAUGGGUCCAUUGUUCCUGAUCACUGCUAGCUAGCAAGUGUAAAAAUCUAACAGUGAUGCAACCAAUGCCGAUUUUUAACUUCGACUGAUAGUGACAAUGAGCUAUCACUCUUGGUGGAUUUAUAAAAUUCUUCAACUGAUAGUGACAAUAAGCUAUCACUUUGGUGGAUUUAUAGAAUUGAUAGUGAUGCUCAUUCCCCUUACAAAAGAUAGUGAUAACUUAUCACUGUCAAAUUUGAUGAAAGUAAUAAUACUAAGAGUGUUAUGCAUUUUUGAGUAGUGAAUGAUGAUGUAUUACUAUCGAUGUUUUGCAUAUGAAAUUUGGACUCUAGAUAAAUAUUUGUGAUUAGGAAUACUAAGACUGAUUAAUUAGGAUUAGCACCAUAUUUUGGGUCCAUUUGGUGGGGCUUCGGCUCUGGCUUCUCACGUGGAGCAGCUUCUAUGGUCGAGCUAAAUCCAUUUUGAAAAACAUUUGGCAAAAAUAGCUCUAGUGGUAGUUUUGUAAUAAUUUGUAUUAGGUUUGUAAAGGAGUCAAGAGAAACCACGUUUAUGUGGCUUUGACUCUAGACAUAAACGACUCUAGCCCCUUGGGCUCAUUGCAAGAAGCUGCUUUUAAUGGCCAAUAGCAAAGCUCCUUGUAAGGAGCCGUGAGAAACCGGAGUUGUAGCCAUGCUAAAUGGGACCUACUAAUUCUACCAUAUUGGACUAGUAUUAGUAACCAAUAAAUGCAUAUGAUAUUUAGACACUAGAUAAAUAUUUAUGGUUAGGAAUGGUAAGAUUGAUUGAUUAGAAUGAGGAUCAUAUUUGAUGCUGCCAUACUGAUAUAGGAGUACUAUUAUUAGCAACCAAUAAAUGCACUAGAGACAUGAUACUUGAGUUAGCAGCGAAUAAAUGCAAACCUAUAUCAGAUAAGUGUGUACCAAAUGUUUUGGUUUCAAUAUGGUAGAAAUUGACUGGCUAUGAUUAAUUUGCUUGUGGCUUCGGUCUAUAUAAGGAAGGACCCGCACCAUGAAAGAGCAUCAAGAAACCAUUAAUCUCUCACUGAAGAAGAGAUUAGCUAGAUUAUAUUCAUGGCGCUACUCAAGACAAGCUCCAAGAGUACUCUAGUUUUCACCAUCACAUGGCUCCUAAUUGCACUUGUUGCUACGACUGAAGAUGGUGACACUACUCUAGAUAAGCUCGGAGGACUCUGCGAGAAAGUAGCAAAAGGUCCAUGUACAGAAAAGGGGUGUGGCUCAAUGUGCGCCGUCAUAGGCUUUAAUGGUAUCGGGAACUGCAACGGUCCCUACUGCUGCUGCAACCCAAAAUCCUCCAGGCACAUCGGUGUCCCCUAGCUAGGAACUAGCUUUCAAUUCCUUUUCGAUCUAUCCAAUGUUUGUUAGAACAUUUUUCAUUAAUGAACAAAUAAUAUAUGGUGCGUACGUGAUUGCUACAUGCAUGUCAAGAUGCCAUAUGACCAUUUCCAAUAAUCUUAGAAUAGUCUUUGAUAAGAAAAAUACAACACAUUCUCAAUUUUUGGUAGGCUUGAGGUUCAUACACCUCUUGUUGUCUUUCCUACUCCAUGGCAAUAUAUUUAUGGUGUGUUUGGUUGUGGAGUUGCCUCAUGAUUCAUGUGGUGAUGCAUCAUGAGUUCAUCCCGUUUGGGUGGAAUUAACUCAUUUCUCAUGUAUAUACUAAUUAUUAGCUUAAGAAAGGGGAUGGUGAUGGAUCAACUCAUUUCAUUCCACAAACCAAAUACAAAAAGUAAGAAGUGAGAAAAAAUGGACCACCUCAUUCCUCAAACCAAACACACUAUAAACUAGCAAGUGGCCAAGUUUCCUUCCCUACCAUUUAAGUUGCGUACAAAAAUAUACAACUUUUCCACUAAAUACAUUUUUCACUAUUUCUUAUCCAAGAUCUAGAACACCCCCUAAUUGUACUAAAUAAGUCAAAAUAAGCCAAAAGCAAGAUCCAAGGUGCUCUAAAAAUUGUACUAAAUAAAAGUAGGUACUUCUAAAAAAUAGCUUAUGAAUUCACCCAUUUGGUUGGCUCUCUACUCUUUAGCAGAAGAAGCACUUUCUAGGAAUUGGACUGAAUGCAGCCUGAGUCAUCCUCCUCAUCACAUUGUUUUGUCCUAUUGGCCACAUUACUGCUAUUGUCGACUUUGCUCUCAUUCUCGGCAACACGGCACACACUGCCUAUACUCCUCCUCAUUGACAUGCCAUAGCCACUGCCAUCGUCUUGAUGGAUGCUAUGUGAGGCAGACAAACAAGUCAUGUGUUUGGUCUUGUGUGAUUCUUGGAGAUUGAUAGAUCAAAGGGGGUGAGGCCAUGGGGCACAAAGAGGGUGGAACAACAAUGUGUGCAGAGGCACCAAAGAGUCCACUUAUUGGUGACAAAAAACACUCUAGGCAGGGCAAUCUAGUAAUGCAGAAAUGCUAAACCUUUGUUCUUUUUAGGCCAGUCUCAAUGAGGAGUUUCAUAUUCUAGUUUCCAGCACAUCUGAUUUUGGAAACAGUGCAGAAGAGUUUCAUACGGAUGAAACUCUCUCUGCUCCCAUAAAACUCUUACCACCUCUCACUUCAUUAAUACAGUGCCACAUCAGCAUAUUUAAUACCCAUGAAACUCUGAUGAAAAUCACAUUUAGACUAGCCUUAGGAGUAGAUUUAUAGAACAUGAACAAACUAUUUCUAUAGUAGUGUUCCAAGUUGGCCAUUGACCUUCAUUAAGUAACAUGUAAUCACUAUAACAAAACCACAAAACACUGUCAGUCUCAAGUUCGCCAUCACUGUCAGUUAUGCCAACUAGACAAGCAGCAAUUGUAGCAUUGACUAUCUUUGCUGGUUGAACUGUAAGCUACAAUCCAGUAGUAUUACCUAUUUCACAAAAUAAAAAAAUAUAAAUAGCCCACCUGCACACUGUGCCCACCACAACCAUGCACUACCAAGUCUGCCACCUGUCGCACUUGUCGUUGAUGGCUACUAGGUCAUAGACUGCCAUGCUCGUUGUCAUUGGGUGUUAUGCCGCACACCCCGCCUUGUUUCUAUUGCAACCACAGCCACCUCCAUUGUGCCAUAGUGCCGCCCAUGCAUUGAAGCCACAGAGCAGUCUGUCGCCCAUAGCCACACCAUGCGCCAAGCAUUGCCAUUGCCUCCCAUGCAAUUCCAACCGCCACCCGCCCCGCUCCCACAGCAGCCAUGCCAUGUGCCCACAACAUUUGUCAUCAUCAGAGAGGGUACAAGGGGGGCUAGUGAGGCAGAUAGGGAAGAUAGGAUGCUGCACGACAAAGGGGAGAGGGAGUGCAGAUCAGUUGAGGGGGAGGGGGAGAGAGGUAUGGGGAAAACAGGUCAGGCAAAGGCUUGGAUCAAAUUCUGGGUCUAUUGUCCUGAUCACUCGGCUAGCAAAUUUGAAAAUCCAACAAUGAUACUACUAGUGUUGGUUUUUAACUACAACAACUGAUAGUUAUAUUUUUUUCUUGAAUACAUAGGAGAUUUGCAUAUCAUUGCAUUGUAGAGAGAAAAGGAUCGACCCCUUACAAACACCACCACCUCACUCUGGACCAGGCUAUGAGUCAUUAUUUCCUUACAUCAAAAAACUUAAACUAAAAGAACUAAGAAAGGGGUGAUCCCUUACAACAAAAACACCAUCCAGCUAAACUAAGGUAGGGUAUCCAAGCCCAACACCAUGACCUAGACCAAGCAUGCACAAGCCGCGCGCACCCACCAAACACCAAAGGUGAUGCUCGCCUCUGAACUCUUUGAGAAGCCUAGUAAUCGAGGGGUGAGACCCUUAAAGAAACAAGCAUUAUGGUGCUUCCAAAGGAUCUAGGAACUUAGAAUGAUAAUUAUGUUCAACCCCUUCUUCUCCUUUGGAAUUCUCUUGGUUACUUUUCACCACCAAUCAGCCUGUGAUUUUUCUUGCCUUAUGGGAGUCUGAUCUUGUAGUCCUAAAGGAGUCAAGAUCCGUGACCAAAAUUCUCAAGCGAGGACACAUGUAGUAGUAAGUAGAUGCUGGACUGUCUCAUCUUCCUAAGCACACAAGGGGUAGUGGCUCGGAUGAGGUAAACCUCUCUUGGAUAAUCGGUCUGCCGUCCAGCACCUAUUUUGGAUUGCUAACCAUAAAAAUAAUUUGCACUUUACUGGUGCCCAGGAUUUCCAUAGACAUCGCCAAGGCACAAACUUGAUGGAGCCAUUGAAGAAUGCUCAAUAUAUGCAGAUUUUGAGCUAAGCUGGCCUGACCCUUCCAGUCUCGAAAUAUUGACAUUGUCAUCCUGAGAGAGGGUUGUCUCAUGCAGAAUCUCCCAUAAUUGAAAAUAUUCAAAGAGACCCACCAAUGAGUGACCCCACGUCAGUAGGCCAAGUAUGAUUCUAGAGGGUGUCAGCCAUCGUGCGUUGUUUGCAAGUAUGAGAUGGAACUGCAGCAACUACCGCUGGUGCCAAGUCCAUCAAACAACAACCCAUGAGCCACUUAUCCUUCCAAAAUAAAGUAUUUCUUCCAUUACUAACCUUAAAUUCCAAUGCAAUUUUGAAAAGAGCUACAACAUUUGGACAAAUAUGUAUGACAUUAAGGCCAGUCCAUGCUCGAUUGCGAUCUGUUUUCUUGAACCAUAGCCAACAGAUUUGAAGUGCCCAACUCAUGAACUCAAGGUUCAAUAUCCCAAGUCCGCCCAAAUCAAGGGGUCACUAGACCUUACCCCAAGCAACCACGCAAGCACCACCAUACACUUGGCCUCUCCCUUUCCACACAAAGGCUCUUCUUAUCUUAUCAAUGGUCAUAAAAAACAUUUGGGCACCUUAAUCGCUAUCAAGACAUAGAUAGGAAUAACUGAAAGGACGAAGCAGACCCAAGUAACUCUCCCAGCCAUGUUCAUGA